rnacentral:rRNA from 1 species
ACAGAGGUCUCAAGCGUUGUUCGGAUUCAUUGGGCGUAAAGCGCGCGCAGGCGGUCAUCUACGUCUGGGGUGAAAGCCCGGAGCUCAACUCCGGGAUUGCCUUGGAUACGGGAUGACUUGAGGAUCGGAGAGGCAAGGGGAAUUCCACGUGUAGCGGUGAAAUGCGUAGAGAUGUGGAGGAACACCUGUGGCGAAGGCGCCUUGCUGGCCGAUUUCUGACGCUGAGGCGCGAAAGCGUGGGGAGCAAACAGGA